rnacentral:rRNA from 1 species
GUGGGGAAUUUUGGACAAUGGGCGCAAGCCUGAUCCAGCAAUGCCGCGUGCAGGAAGAAGGCCUUCGGGUUGUAAACUGCUUUUGUACGGAACGAAAAGCCUCUGGUUAAUACCCGGGGGUCAUGACGGUACCGUAAGAAUAAGCACCGGCUAACUACGUGCCAGCAGCCGCGGUAAUACGUAGGGUGCGAGCGUUAAUCGGAAUUACUGGGCGUAAAGCGUGCGCAGGCGGUGAUGUAAGACAGGCGUGAAAUCCCCGGGCUCAACCUGGGAAUUGCGCUUGUGACUGCAAGGCUGGAGUGCGGCAGAGGGGGAUGGAAUUCCGCGUGUAGCAGUGAAAUGCGUAGAUAUGCGGAGGAACACCGAUGGCGAAGGCAAUCCCCUGGGCCUGCACUGACGCUCAUGCACGAAAGCGUGGGGAGCAAACAGGAUUAGAUACCCCAGUAGUCC